rnacentral:rRNA from 1 species
GACGAACGCUGGCGGCGUGCUUAACACAUGCAAGUCGAACGGAAAGGCCCUGCUUUUGUGGUGUGCUCGAGUGGCGAACGGGUGAGUAACACGUGAGUAACCUGCCCUUGACUUUGGGAUAACUUCAGGAAACUGGGGCUACUACCGGAUAGGAGCUCCUGCUGCAUGGUGGGGGUUGGAAAGUUUCGGCGGUCGGGGAUGUACUCGCGGCUUAUCAGCUUGUUGGUGGGGUAGUGGCUUACCAAGGCUUUGACGGGUAGCCGGCCUGAGAGGGUGACCGGCCACAUUGGGACUAAGAUACGGCGCAGACUCCUACGGGAGGCAGAAGUGGGGAAUAUUGCACAAUGGGCGGAAGCCUGAUGCAGCAACGCCGCGUGCGGGAUGAAGGCCUUCGGGUUGUAAACCGCGUUCGCCUGUGACGAAGCGUGAGUGACGGUAAUGGGUAAAGAAGCACCGGCUAACUACGUG